GCUAGUGUUCACUUCCGCAGCAAAUAAAAUUGGAACAAUACAGAGAAGAUUAGCAUGGGCCCUGUGCAAGGAUGACACGCAAACUUGUGAAGCAUUCCAUAUUUUU